UUGAACUGCACAGCAGCUCUCUUGACAUGUUUUGUCCUCUUGUGUGUGAUUACAGGGUCUGACCUGACAUGCAGCAAACCGUUUGCAAAGGGAAACCCUGUAUGUCCUCAAUUUGCCUCUUAGUCAUCCCAGAGCAACUACAGCCUGAUCUGUUGGCCGGUGAGCAGCGCUACUGGAAGCAAAGUGCCUGGAUCAACAGCACAUGAACACUGGCGAUGGAGGCCCAGACUUAUCAACCUAAGAAGUGGAGGUCAGCUCAGACACCUGCAGACCUGAGGCCACUCUCUCAUAAGUGUGUGAGUGAAGUACAGUGAUCCCAGCAACCUGAUGUGUCAAAUCAGUGUCCUUAGGGACACCCGAGCCCAGUGUGCCCCAUGUACAUGUACGUGUGUAUGUGUACAAGAGCAGCAGCAUGCAAUCUUUGGCUGGCAGCCCUCUUUCUUUUUUUUUUUUUUUUCAGCACCCCUACUGCACAUUUUUACCCAUCCAUUCACUACAGUACUGACUAUAGAUUACUCUUAUUUGUGCAAUUUGUUUGACUUAUUUUACUUACUUCUUAGUUAAGGAAUCAUUUGACAUCUACAAACACUUCAAAAUAGCAUAAAAUACUGUGCUGAGA